rnacentral:rRNA from 1 species
GUAGUCUCGCACAGAUGCAUAUCAAUAAGCGGAGGAAAAGAAACUAACAAGGAUUCCCCUAGUAACGGCGAGUGAAGCGGGAAGAGCUCAAAUUUGAAAUCUUAAAGGGUUUCCCUUUACGAAUUGUAGUUUAAAGAAGUGUUUUCUGUUGAGGUUUUGGUAAAAGUUCUUUGGAAUAGGACAUCAUAGAGGGUGAGAAUCCCGUAUUUGACCUUUACUUUCAACUUUGUGAUACACUUUCAAAGAGUCGGAUUGUUUGGGAAUGCAGUCCAAAUGGGUGGUAAAUUUCAUCUAAAGCUAAAUAUUGGCGAGAGACCGAUAGCGAACAAGUACCGUGAGGGAAAGAUGAAAAGAACUUUGAAAAGAGAGUUAAACAGUACGUGAAAUUGUCAAAAGGGAAGCGUUUGACACCAGUGUUGUUUUUCUGAAAAUCAAUUAAAGAACUGUUUAUGCUAAGCUGUUUAGACUUUAUCAGCUAACUGUUUAGUUUUGAGCUUUUCUUUAAUGCACUUUUCAGUUAACAAGUCAACAUCAAUUUCUUUUGCUGUAAAAAAGCUUGAGGAAGGUGGCUUGAGAUUCGUCUUAAGUGUUUAUAGCCUCUUGCCUAUGCAGUCGGAGAGAUUGAGGUCUGCAGCGUAGAUCCUUCGGGGCUAAAUGCAUUUGUGCUAAGUUAUAGCAUUUUAUAGACAACUUGUUGACUAUGAUUUGUCUUGUAGCUUACUCGCUUAUGUUAUUUUACCUACGCUUAGGAUGUUGAGUAGCGACAUACGCAC